UGGGGAAUUUUGGACAAUGGGCGCAAGCCUGAUCCAGCCAUGCCGCGUGAGUGAAGAAGGCCUUCGGGUUGUAAAGCUCUUUCGGCGGGGACGAAACGGUUCGUGACAACACCACGGACUAAUGACGGUACCCGCAUAAGAAGCACCGGCUAACUACGUGCCAGCAGCCGCGGUAAUACGUAGGGUGCAUGCGUUAAUCGGAAUUACUGGGCGUAAAGCGUGCGCAGGCGGUUUGUUAAGACAGGUGUGAAAUCCCCGGGCUUAACCUGGGAAUUGCGCUUGUAACUGGCAGGCUAGAGUGUGGCAGAGGGGGGUGGAAUUCCACGUGUAGCAGUGAAAUGCGUAGAUAUGUGGAGGAACACCGAUGGCGAAGGCAGCCCCCUGGGUUAACACUGACGCUCAUGCACGAAAGCGUGGGGAGCAAACAGGAUUAGAUACCCCAGUAGUCCCUGAGCGGGCUGGCAAGGCGCAU
rnacentral:rRNA from 1 species